CUGCUCCAUGGCGAUGGAGCUCGCCUGGAAUGCCCGGAAAGGCUGAUGGCUCCUACCAAAAU
rfam:Desulfotomaculum australicum DSM 11792 genome assembly, contig: EJ60DRAFT_scaffold00002.2